ensembl:lncRNA
CUGAUAGAUAGCACGUGGGAUAUACUUACCCUGAUAGAUAGCACGCGGGAUACACUUACCCCGAUAGAUACUGUGUGGGAUAUACUUACCCUGAUAAAUACUGCAGGGGAUAUACUUACACUAAAAAAAAGGACUCGCUGCUUCUCUGGAAUUCAAAUUUACUUGGGCGUCCCGGGUCUUUUGUAGCUGUCAUGGAUCUCGUUUUUAUUUGUGCUACAUCUGGCCACCUUAGCCUGGCACAAAAUGUAUUCACCAAUGUUCAUUGAACGAACGAACGGAGCUAAAGCAUAUCAGCUGAAAGAAUAAACAGAUGAAGCAGUGAUUGAAACGCACAGGCAUUAUUACUAUGGUUGCCGUUGUUGUCUCACUGAUGGCUCAGAAGUUCCUGCCUCUGAGAACAUUCUAUCUAUCCCAGGCCCAGACCAUGGGGGGAAGUCGGGGCUUGCAGAGCAAAGUGAUUCACCCAAGGCCUUCAGGGCUGUCGCUCCUGAGGCGGGCCAUCUGCACCCCCAGACAGCCCCCAUCCUCCAAGCCUGAAACACACCCCAGCCUGAAUCUCAGAAUAACCCCACCAGGCUGGGACAGCUACCCUCCCCUGCUACCGAUGAAGAAACCGAGGCUCAGAGAGGCAAAGGGACUCAUCCACGCUGACAGUGACCCCCCCCGGGACCCUUCUCUCCACACUGGGGGCAGAGCCUGGAGCCCGAGAGCCACAGCUGGCAGAGCUCCAGGCUGGGCUGGAGCUGGCUUCCCACAGAUCCCCAGCUCCACGGCCGGGAACUGCCUCCCCAAAGGCCCGCUCACCUCCUGGCAGCACCAGCAGAUGUGGAAACCCAGGCUUGGCUCUGAGCAGGCAGACCGUGGGCGGCAGGCGGGGCUUGCUCCAGACACGCUCUGCCAACGCAGCCAGCGAGCUGGGCAUUUCAUUCAAGCAUUCAGCAAACGGAGGGGCCAGAUGAGUAAACCAAGCCUCAAAGAGAUUGUGGCAGCUGCCGCCAGGGUGAAAAAUCAGUAGAGGUGGAACUUGAAUCCAAACAGACUUUCCUGGUAGCUCAGACGGUAAAGCGUCUGCCUACAACGUGGGAGACCUGGGUCCAAUCCCUGGGUCCGGAAGAUCUCCUGGAGAAGGAAAUGGCACCCCACUCCAGUACUCUUGCCUGGAAAACCCCACGGAUGGAGGAGCCCGGUAGGCUACAGUGCACGGGGUCGCAAACAGUUGGACACGACCGAGUGACUUCACUUCACUUGAAUCCAGUCAAAGGACUAGGAGGGCCCCUCCUUCAGGGCCGCAGCCUCAGUCCACUCCAGUUCAGAGGCGGUAGCUCCCUAGCCCCCGCCCCUCUCCCGUAACUUUCAACCUUGAUCUUCAAGGGCCUCCGAGGGCACUCUCAGGACGUGUCCUAUGAAUUACCAAAUAGGACCUGUCCUAUGAAUUACC